UGACGGUACCCUACUAGAAAGGAGCCGCUAACUUCGUGCCAGAAGCGUCGGUAAUACGGGGGGCUCCAAGCGUUAUCCGGUGUUAUUGGGCGUAAAGAGUCGUGUAGGUGGUUGGGUAAGUUAUCUUUCAAAUAUCCUUGCUUAACAAAGAGGAGGGGGAUAAUACUGCUCGACUAGAAUUUUCUCAAGGGAGAUCGGAACUGAGGGAGGAGUAGUGAAAUGCGUUGAUACCCUCGGGAACACCAGUGGCGUAGGCGGAUCUCUGGGAGAAGAUUGACACUGAGACACGAAAGCUAGGGGAGCGAAGCAGAUUAGAGACCUGCGUAGUCCUAGCCGUAAACGCAUGCUUGCUAGCUGCAUGAAUCUACCUUCGGGUGGUAUCGUGUGGCGAAGGUAACCCGUUAAGCAAGCCGCCUGGAAAGUACGGCCGCAAGGCUGAAAUUCAAAGGAAUUGGCGGGGAGGCACACAACCAGUGGAACAUGUGGUUUAAUUCGAGACUAACCGAAGAACCUCACCAGGGUUUGACAUGUAGCUGCACGUCUUAAGAAAUUAAGACUCUCUUGAAGGUGCUACACAGGUGCUGCAUGGCUGUCGUCAGCUCGUUCCGUGAGGAGUGCCCUUAAGUGGGACAACGAGCGCAACCCCUAUUACAUGUUAGAAAUGUCAUGUAAGACUGCCUUGCCAUUUGGCGGGGAGGAAGGAGGGGCAGACGUCAAGUCCGCAUGGUCCUUAUGCCCUGGGCUACACACAUGUUACAAUGAGUACGGCAAUGAGUCUGUCGCGAGCACGUAAGUGUAAGCUAAUCUCUUAAAUGUACUCUCAGUGGGGAUUGAGGUCUGCAACUCGACCUCAUGAACACGGAAUUGGUAGUAAUCGCGGGUCAGCUAUACCGCGGUGAUACGUUCUUGCCUCUUGCACACACCGCCCGUCAAACCAGCAAAGUCGAUUGUAUCCGAACCU
rnacentral:rRNA from 1 species